rnacentral:rRNA from 1 species
AUACGUAGGUGGCAAGCGUUGUCCGGAAUUAUUGGGCGUAAAGCGCGCGCAGGUGGUCCUUUAAGUCUGAUGUGAAAGCCCACGGCUCAACCGUGGAGGUGCAUUGGAAACUGGGGGACUUGAGUGCAGAAGAGGCUAGUGGAAUUCCAAGUGUAGCGGUGAAAUGCGUAGAGAUUUGGAGGAACACCAGUGGCGAAGGCGACUGUCUGGUCUGUAACUGACACUGAGGCGCGAAAGCGUGGGGAGCAAACAGGAUUAGAUACCCUGGUAGUCCACGCCGUAAACGAUGAGUGCUAAGUGUUGGGGGGUUUCCGCCCCUCAGUGCUGCAGCUAACGCAUUAAGCACUCCGCCUGGGGAGUACGGUCGCAAGACUGAAACUCAAAGGAAUUGACGGG